rnacentral:rRNA from 1 species
CCUACGGGCGGCAGCAGUGGGGAAUAUUGGGCAAUGGGCGCAAGCCUGACCCAGCAACGCCGCGUGAAGGAAGAAGGCUUUCGGGUUGUAAACUUCUUUUGUCAGGGAAGAGUAGAAGACGGUACCUGACGUAUAAGCCACGGCUAACUACGUGCCAGCAGCCGCGGUAAUACGUAGGGGGCAAGCGUUGUCCGGAUUUACUGGGUGUAAAGGGCGUGUAGUCGGGUUGAUAAGUCAGUUGUGAAAUCCUGCGGCUUAACCGCAGAACUGCAUUUGAAACUGUUGAUCUUGAGUAUUGGAGAGGCAGAUGGAAUUCCUAGUGAAGCGGUGAAAUGCGUAGAUAUUAGGAAGAACACCAGUGGCGAAGGCAGUCUGCUGGACAGCAACUGACGGUGAGGCGCGAAAGCGUGGGGAGCAAACAGGAUUAGAUACCCCGGUAGUC